rnacentral:rRNA from 1 species
GGCAACCUUAGUCUAUAUUGUGCUCGUGACCCGUCAAGUACCAGUCUCAUAGUAGUACUGGUGUUAAAAGAUCAGUCCUUCACCCGCGGAUCCUUCAUGGGUCGAACUUGCUCUCUUGCCAUGUCUUUCACUCACUAACUCGAGUCAGACUUAUUCACUGCUUACUUUUCUAGGGGUCUUUACUCUCUUGUUGUUACAUGCUUUGAAAACUGGAUACUUUUCAUCAUUCGAGCCACUCCGGCCGGUUUUGAGCCGAUGUGGGCUACAGGUGGCCAAGAUUUUGGGUAA